rnacentral:rRNA from 1 species
AGCGAACGCUGGCGGCAGGCCUAAAACAUGCAAGUCGAACGCCGUAGCAAUACGGAGUGGCAGACGGGUGAGUAACACGUGGGAACGUGCCCUUUGGUUCGGAACAACACAGGGAAACUUGUGCUAAUACCGGAUAAGCCCUUACGGGGAAAGAUCUAUCGCCGAAGGAUCGGCCCGCGUCUGAUUAGCUAGUUGGUGGGGUAACGGCCCACCAAGGCUACGAUCAGUAGCUGGUCUGAGAGGAUGAUCAGCCACACUGGGACUGAGACACGGCCCAGACUCCUACGGGAGGCAGCAGUUAGGAAUCUUGGACAAUGGGCGCAAGCCUGAUCCAGCCAUGCCGCGUGAGUGAUGAAGGCCUUAGGGUUGUAAAGCUCUUUCAGCGGGGAAGAUAAUGACGGUACCCGCAGAAGAAGCCCCGGCUAACUUCGUGCCAGCCGCCGCCGUAA